rnacentral:rRNA from 1 species
AGGACGAACGCUGGCGGCGUGCUUCAUACAUGCAAGUCGAACGAGAAGCUGACUUCGGUCAGUGGAAAGUGGCGGACGGGUGAGUAAUAUGUAGAGAAUCUGCCCUUGGGUGGGGGACAACAGAGGGAAACUUCUGCUAAUACCCCAUAUGAGCUAACUUGAAAUAGUUAUCUUGAAAACUCCGGUGCUCAAGGAUGAGUCUGCAUCUGAUUAGCUAGUUGGCGGUGUAAUGGACCACCAAGGCGACGAUCAGUAGCUGGUUUGAGAGGAUGAUCAGCCACAAUGGGACUGAGACACGGCCCAUACUCCUACGGGAGGCAGCAGUAGGGAAUUUUGCGCAAUGGGCGAAAGCCCUGACGCAGCAACGCCGCGUGAACGAUUAAGCCCUUCGGGGUGUAAAGUUCUGUCAGUAGGGACGAAUUUUGACGGUACCUACAGAGGAAGCACCGGCUAACUCCGUGCCAGCAGCGGC